rnacentral:rRNA from 2 species
GUCACAUCCCGAACCCGGCAGUUAAGCCUGUCAGCGCCGAUGGUACUUGGGGGGCAGCCCCCUGGGAGAGUAGGUCAUCGCCAAGA